rnacentral:rRNA from 1 species
AAUCUCGAAAGCCUAUCUCAGUUCGGAUUGGAGGCUGAAACCCGCCUCCAUGAAGUUGGAUUCGCUAGUAAUCGCGCAUCAGCCAUGGCGCGGUGAAUACGUUCCCGGGCCUUGUACACACCGCCCGUCAAGCCAUGGGAGCUGGGGGUGCCUGAAGUUCGUGACCGCAAGGAUCGACCUAGGGCAAAACCGGUGACUGGGGCUAAGUCGUAACAAGGUACC